rnacentral:pre_miRNA from 8 species
UCUCACGUUGAGCCACACGCACAAUGCCUGCAGAUGAAAGGGUUUUGUUCGUUCGGCUCGCGUUACGCAGAU